AGCGAACGCUAGCGGCAGGCUUAACACAUGCAAGUCGAGCGGUAAGGCCCCUUCGGGGGUACACGAGCGGCGAACGGGUGAGUAACACGUGAGCAAUCUGCCCUUCACACGGGGAUAACUCCGGGAAACCGAAGCUAAUACCCGAUACGACCACCUCAGGCAUCUGAUGGUGGUGGAAAGUUCCGGCGGUGAAGGAUGAGCUCGCGGCCUAUCAGCUUGUUGGUGGGGUAACGGCCCACCAAGGCAACGACGGGUAGCCGGCCUGAGAGGGUGACCGGCCACACUGGGACUGAGACACGGCCCAGACUCCUACGGGAGGCAACAGUGGGGAAUAUUGGACAAUGGGCGAAAGCCUGAUCCAGCAACGCCGCGUGAGGGAUGACGGCCUUCGGGUUGUAAACCUCUUUCAGCAGGGACGAAGCGCAAGUGACGGUACCUGCAGAAGGAGCACCGGCCAACUACGUGCCAGCCGCCGCGGUAAUAC
rnacentral:rRNA from 1 species